GAUGAACGCUAGCGAUAGGCCUAACACAUGCAAGUCGAGGGGCAUCACAUGAAGUAGCAAUACGGAUGGUGGUGACCGGCGCACGGGUGAGUAACACGUAUGCAACCUGCCUUCAACAAGGGGAUAACCCGUUGAAAAACGGACUAAUACCCUAUAAUACAGGGGUCCCGCAUGGGGAUAUUUGUUAAAGAUUGAUCGGUUGAAGAUGGGCAUGCGUUCCAUUAGCUGGUUGGUGAGGUAACGGCUCACCAAGGCAACGAUGGAUAGGGGAACUGAGAGGUUUAUCCCCCACACUGGUACUGAGACACGGACCAGACUCCUACGGGAGGCAGCAGUGAGGAAUAUUGGUCAAUGGACGCAAGUCUGAACCAGCCACGUCGCGUGAAGGAAGACGGCCCUACGGGUUGUAAACUUCUUUUGUAAGGGAAUAAAGUGUAGUACGCGUACUAUUUUGCAUGUACCUUACGAAUAAGGAUCGGCUAACUCCGUGCCAGCAGCC
rnacentral:rRNA from 1 species